CGCACCCCGCUGCCGUGACACCCCCCGGCCCCCAUCCCGCUGCCAUCACGCCUCCCGGCCCCCGCACCCUUGUCUGUGUCCCACAGCACAGGACCUGUCAGCGAGCGUCUGGCGCCUUCCUCCCUCCCCUGCAGAGACCCGCCAGGCCCCUCCAACAGGUGCUUUCUAAACUGCAAUUUCCUCAUCUACAAAAGGACAAUCACAACAACGGAACCCAGGGGACAGGACUGCAUCAACUACAACCAGACGGCGUAGACGGCAGCACACGGCCCUCGGCAAAUCAGAGAAACACUGCUGUGCAAGAACCUGCAAAUCCCUAAGGCGUCUGUGUCCGAUGGCCCCGGCCCCAUGCUCUGAGGUCGCGCAGGUGUCCAAGGCCAGGAGGGGCACCGAGGAGACGAAGAAGAAACAGCACAGCAGCUGGGGAGGUUUUCUGUGCCUGUUUUCGGUGAGCACAGAACAACUGAAGGAAGCGCGGGACAGACACAAGGGCGGGCCUCGGUGCCACGGCUGGCCUUGGGCAGAGGGAAAUGCUUUGUGUACUUUCUCUGGGAAGCAGCAGCCCCAGCGCGGCCUCGGCGUCCUCUGCCGCCAACUGCUCCGUGACCGCUGGGCGUGUGUGCGGGGACAUGGGAGCAACUUCACAGUGGUGGGAAGUUUCUCUCCUAAAACGAAAGCUUCUCUAUACUACAGAUUGGCCCCAUUAAAUAAAAGAAAAUACGGUGUAUUUUUACAGCGUUUGGGAUUGGAAAUGACUGAGAUUCACGGUGGCUCUAGUCCUGUCUCCUGAAGACGGAGCUGGACGAGGUCUGCGGACAGUCAGAAAACACGUCAGGGUUUUGGCUCAGCUGCCAGAUAUGCAGCUAUGGUGGGAUUUCUGCGGCAGGGCAAGGAAGUGGAGACAGUUCGCGUGGCAGAGCACAGCGGGUGCCCUAUAGUGGGCACGCCUGGAGAGCGUAUAUUUUCACAGGGCCCGAAACCUGAAUGGAGGAUUCUUUCCACCAGCUGCGGGGUGGGGGGGGGCUCAGGCACAUCAGUUUUCCCACCCAGAAGACGAAGGCCUGCGAAGGGGGCCCCAUGAGGCCUGGGAAGGGGGCCCCGUGAGACCUGGGGUUAAAUCUUCCACAGCAAGCAGGGACCCCAGCCAGGCUCUGCACAAGGCAGGCGCUGCGCUCAGGUGGGAGUCCUGUGAGAUGCUCCUGCACCCCACACUCCCGUGACCACAGGCGAGGCCUAACGCCCCCCACGCCGGUUCAUCUCGUCUCCUCAAACUCCCACCAAGAUGCUCACGACAGGGCCCAAAUGCACUCCCGGGGGGUUGGCUAGUCUGCAGGAUCACAGGCUGGCCCAGUGAAAACCUGGGCUUCGCUGCCUUACAACCAUGCAGAACUCAUAGCCAGGCCAUGUGCCCACCUGCCCACUGGGACCCCGGGACAGUGCCUGCUCCAGACAGAGGCUGGGAGCUCUGUGAGGGGCACAUGGAGUGAAGCAGAGCCUGCGGCUCACCUGUUUGGCUCUGGCUGGCCAGGUGCCCCCUCAA
rnacentral:lncRNA from 1 species